rnacentral:rRNA from 1 species
UGGUUCUGGCCUCGAUGAACAACGCAGCGAACUGCGAUACGGAGUGUGAAUUGCAGAAUUCCGUGAAUCAUCGAAUCUUUAAACGCACAAUGCGCCCUUUGCUAUUCCAAACGGCAUGCCUGUUCGAGCGUCUUUUGUACCCUCAAGCUUUCCUUGGUGUGGGGCGUCUUGUUUCUCACGAGUCUCGCCUUAAAAUCAUUGGCGGCCGACCUACUGGUUUCGUAGCGCAGCACAAUUCUUGCAAUUUGAAUCAACCUUGGUUGAGCAUCCAUCAGGACCCUAUUUUUUAACUUAUGACCUCGGAUCAGGUAGG